UCGUGAGAUGUAGGUUAAGUCCCGCAACGAGCGCAACCCUUGUCUUUUAAUUGCCAUCAUUGAGUUGGGCACUUUAAAGAGACUGCCGGUGUUAAACCGGAGGAAGGUGGGGAUGACGUCAAGCCUCAUGGCCUUUAUGCCCAGGGCUACACACGUGCUACAAUGGGUGGUACAAAGAGCAGCCAGCUCGCGAGAGUGAGCAAAUCUCAAAAAGCCAUCCUCAGUUCGGAUUGAAGUCUGCAACUCGACUUCAUGAAGUUGGAAUCGCUAGUAAUCGUGAAUCAGAAUGUCACGGUGAAUACGUUCCCGGGCCUU
rnacentral:rRNA from 1 species